GACGAACGCUGGCGGCGUGCUUAACACAUGCAAGUCGAACGGAAAGGCCCUGCUUUUGUGGGGUGCUCGUGUGGCGAACGGGUGAGUAACACGUGAGUAACCUGCCCUUGACUUUGGGAUAACUUCAGGAAACUGGGGCUAAUACCGGAUAGGAGCUCCUGCUGCAUGGUGGGGGUUGGAAAGUUUCGGCGGUUGGGGCUGGACUCGCGGCUUAUUAGCUUGUUGGUGGGGUAGUGGCUUACCAAGGCUUGGAGGGGUAGCCGGCGUGAGAGGGUGACCGGCGACACGGGAAGUGAGACAGGGUCCAGAGUCCGAAGGGAGGGAGAAGUAGGGAAUCUUCCGCAAUGGGCGAAAGCCUGACGGAGCAACGCGGCGUGAGUGAUGAAGGUCUUCGGAGCGUAAAACUCUGUUAGUAGGGAAGAACAAAUGUGUAAGUAACUAUGCACGUAUUGACGGUACCUAAUCAGAAAGCAACGGCUAACUACGUG
rnacentral:rRNA from 1 species